AUCUGAAGGAGACCCUGAGGUCAUUGUGUCCAUUCCCCUGCCUUCAGGCGGGAUUAGAGAUAAGCUGCCUCUGCCAGAGGAUAAUCUCUUCUACUUGUAAAAGCUUCCAGAGCAGACCUGAAUCUCUCUCGAGACCAUUCAAUGCAACUUUUAACAACUUUCACCAUCAGGAAAUUCUCCCCCUUAGCUAUCCUAAAUCCCUUAUACUGGGGAUUAAGCUCCUUUUCUUAUUCUUUCCUUAGUAGCCACUGCCAAGACUUAGCCUGCACUACCUAAGAACUCUUCUGAUACCUGAAGAUUGCAUGAAAUCCUGCCUGCCUGUCUUCCCUGAUGAAUAAUCCCAGCUUCUUUUUCUCCCAGGCCCUGCAGUCCAGCCCGUUACCUUCGAGGCUACCCUCAGAUUCCCUCUGAGUGUGAGUUUCCCUGGUGGGGAGCCUAGACCAAGCACAGGAGGCCGGUUUCUCAUCUGGGAACUGAACUGCUAUAAUCAAAUACAUAAAGAAAUUGAGCUGCCCCUGUCUGAAUUCAAUCUUCACCUUCUGAUGCUGAUGAAACAGGAUUCAAUGCAGGUGAGUGGGCUCAGAAGCUAUGAUGUUAAGGGAAGUUCUAUGGAAUAUGAGAAGAUCCUUUAUUCCAUUUCCUGUUUUCCCUUCUCUUUUGUCUCUCUUUCUCUUCUCCUCUUUCCUCUAUUCCUCUCUUUUCCUCUCCUCUGCCCUCCUGUAUUAGUCAGGGUUCUCUAGAAGGAUAGAACUAAUAGGAUAGGCGUAUGUAUGACAGGAAGUUUAUUAAGGAGUAUUGACUCACAGGAUCAAAAGAUGAAGUCUCACAAUAGGCCAUCUGCAAGCUGAGGAGCAAGGAAGCCAGUCUAAGUCUCAAAAGUAGGGAAGCUGACAGUGCAGCCUUCAGUCUAUGGCCAAAGGCUUGAGAGCCCCUCACAAACCACUGGUAUAAGUCUAAGAA
rnacentral:lncRNA from 1 species